rnacentral:lncRNA from 1 species
AUGAGCCUUACGAGUCUCUUUCAACUUGGGACAGUCUGUAAUUCUGCUAUUGUCUUGCAGAUUGCUUUAAAGAAUGUGUGGACAGAUCCCAGUGGACCUCUAUCAGUCGAACUGCAUAUGGAAGCCUCCUCCACCUGUCUCCCCGGGGAUCGGGAAGAACUCCAGCAGUCCCAUGGGUGCUGUGUUUUGAAGGUCCUCAGACAGCUGAAAAGAAAAAGCUGCAACUGCUAGGGAUAAACACUGAAGACUGUACCUUGGUCAUCUGAUGCCAGACUGCAGACCCUAGCUUAUACCCUUAAAAUUCAUGAGUCAAGUUUAUCUUCGGCUGGGAGAAUUCCAAGGCAGGCAAUCAUAACUGGAUCUUGCAAACACACCACAUGACCUGGACUGCUACGCUGAUCCUUCUGCCUAGAAAUAAGUUAAAUAAAUAUGCAUUUGAACUUCA